rnacentral:rRNA from 1 species
GCUGCCCGCUCGUACGCGACCCCAGGUCAGGCGGGGCUACCCGCUGAGUUUAAGCAUAUCAAUAAGCGGAGGAAAAGAAA